UUUCCGUAGGUGAACCUGCGGAAGGAUCAUUAUUGGAUUUUGAAACUUCAGGCUGCUGCUGGCUCUCCUCGGAGGGCAUGUGCACGCUUGUUGUCCAUUAUUUCUCCCACUGUGCACAAAUUGUAGGCCUUUCAGUAGGCCUAUGUUGUUUUUCACAAUCUCUGAAUGUAAUAGAAUGGUUUUGAAUCUUGGGAAAUACAAUACAACUUUCAGCAACGGAUCUCUUGGCUCUC
rnacentral:misc_RNA from 1 species